UACAGAGGUCUCAAGCGUUGUUCGGAUUCAUUGGGCGUAAAGGGUGCGUAGGUGGCGCGGUAAGUCGGGUGUGAAAUCUCGGAGCUUAACUCCGGAACUGCCUUCGAUACUGCGGGUCUCGAGUCCGGGAGAGGUGAGUGGAAUUCCUAGUGUAGAGGUGAAAUUCGUAGAUAUUAGGAAGAACACCAGUGGCGAAGGCGGCUCACUGGCCCGGUACUGACGCUGAGGCGCGAAAGCGUGGGGAGCAAACAGG
rnacentral:rRNA from 1 species